rnacentral:rRNA from 1 species
GACGAACGCUGGCGGCGUGCCUAACACAUGCCAGUAGAACGGAAAGGCCCUGCCUUUCUGGGGUGCUCGAGUGGCGAACGGGUGAGUAACACGUGAGUAACCUGCCCUUGACUUUGGGAUAACUUCUGGAAACUGUGGCUAAUACCGCAUAGGAGUUCCUGCUGCAUGGUGUUGGUUGGAAAGUUUCGGUGGCUGGGGAUGGAGUGGGGGCUUAUCUGCUUGAUGGUGUGGGAGUGGCAUACCAAGGCCUUGGCGGGUAGCCGGCCUGGGAGGGUGACCGGCCACAUUGGGAUUGAGGUACGGGCCAGAGGGCAACGGGAGGAAGGGGUGGGGAAUAGUGCAAGAUAGGCGGAGGGCGGGUACAGGGUCGCCGCGUGCGGGAGGACGGCCGUCGGGUAGGAAACCGCGUGCGACUGGGAAGAAGAGAGAGUGACGGUAAUGGGUAAGGAAGCACCGGCUAACUACGUG